CAAAAAAAAAAAAAAGGAAAAGAAAAGAAAAGAAAAAACCGAGGAAGGGCUGCUAGCAGAAGUGGCGUCAGCAAGAAAGUGACGUCUGCUGGAAAGUGACGUCUGCUGGAAAGUAGCGUCUGCUAGAAAGUGGCCUCUGCUGGAAAGUGAUACCUGCUAGAAAGUGGCGCCUGCGGUAAAGUGGCAUGAUUUCUAUCCCAAAUUUACACCCUGGCUUUAAUGCUAGUGAACCUCAGCUUUGAAUGUCUGCCUAUUCU